rnacentral:rRNA from 1 species
CUUUGGUUUUAUUUUGUUGGUUUUCGAAACUGAAGUAAUGAUUAAUAGGGACGGUUGGGGGCAUUAGUACGUACAUGCUAGAGGUGAAAUUCUUGGAUUUUGUACAGACUACCUGCUGCGAAAGCGUUUGUCAAGGACGUUUUCAUUAAUCAAGAACGAAAGUUAAGGGAUCGAAGAGCAUUAGACACACUCGUAGUCUUAACCAUAAACUAUGCCGACUCGGGAUCAGAUUCAUUCAUUAUGAAGUAUCUGGCACCGUAUGAGAAAUCAAAGUUUUUGGGUUCAGGGGGGAGUACGUUCGCAAGGAUGAAACUUAAAGGAAUUGACGGAAGGGCACCACCAGGAGUGGAGCCUGCGGCUUAAUUUGACUCAACACGGGGAAACUCACCAGGUCCAGA